CGCGUAGGCGGUUCGAUAAGUCCCGUGUGAAAGCCCCCGGCUCAACUGGGGAACUGCACGGGAAACUGACGGACUUGAGUUCGGGAGAGGGAAGCGGAAUUCCGGGUGUAGCGGUGAAAUGCGUAGAUAUCCGGAGGAACACCGGUGGCGAAGGCGGCUUCCUGGACCGACACUGACGCUGAGGCGCGAAAGCUAGGGGAGCAAACGGGAUUAGAUACCCCGGUAGUCCUAGCUGUAAACGAUGAGCGCUGGGUGUAGGGGGUGUUAACCCCUCCUGUGCCGAAGCUAACGCAUUAAGCGCUCCGCCUGGGGAGUACGGUCGCAAGGCUGAA
rnacentral:rRNA from 1 species